rnacentral:lncRNA from 1 species
CUUGAUUUAAAGGUGUACUUGCUCCCUUUAGGUGCAGGAAACAGAGGCCUGGUUAACUUGACCUCGCCCAGUUGUCCUUAUCUUUGCCUGUGUCAGAACUAAGAUUGAGUUGUUGUUUAGGGUGCGGGAUAGUAAUAGAUUGAAAGGACCUGUCCCACCAAAAUAUCUUUGUGUCUUUUCUUCACAGUGGGAUCCUGAAGAUGUCAAUUUUGAAAGGAACAAUGACAACAUGGAGACCUUCAGAUUCCAGGUGCCGAGGGGCUCUUCGACGACAGUAGACUUCAGCUCUGCUGAUUAGUAUCUUCUAAAAACCAGUCCAUCAGCUCAAAGACUAGGAUGAGGCAUUCAUCAGUAAAACUGAGCAGAGAUCGGACCUACAGUGACACCCAUAGCAGGGAUUUAAGCCACUGAAGAAGCUGCCCAGGGAAGUGAGGAACCUGGAGCUGAGCGUGGCUGGUUUACCUGGCUCCGAAUAAAUCUAAGAUUGUGGGUUCUAUGGACAGACCUGGAUAUGCCAUUUGUUCUGAAGAUUAGAAGCUCACAGAUGGCUCCUGCUUUGUAAAGAUAAGCCUUCAUCCAAAGGACAAUGGGCCCUCUUUUCCCGUCUUUCCUUUCCCUCUAUUCCCAUGAAAUGCAACUGUAAACUCAGUAUCUGCUGGAUGCCAGGAAUGAGUUCACCUAACAAAUAGCUCAUGUGUUUGGACCUCAGCAGAGCCUGUCCUGCAAGCCCUGGCUUCUGCCCUCCAGUAUCUGCUGGAAGUUAUCCAUAGGACUGCUUGGUCAACCAAGUAUCUGUGAGAUCAGUGGUAUGGCAAGCACAAGCAAAAAAACAAAAGAAUGGGUUUUUAUUGGUCUUUUCGAAGAAUGAAAAGCAAGAGAACUUCCUCCAGCCUGGCAACGCGUGUGCGGAGGCAGGGUUUACAGGUGAGGGGCACUGUGUGCUUUAGGAGGUCACUGAGAGCAUACAGAGGGUAAUAGGUAUGCUGGGACAUGUUAAUUCAAGCACAGUAACCCCAUUUGAAGAUGAAUGGUAGUGUGACCACAUGUGAGGGGAAAGGUGAAGGGAAUGGGGCUAAGGUCGGAACCACUAGAGUGAAUAAAAUUUAACUGAGUGAAUCAAAGCAUCUCACACUGGAAUAUAGUGGUAAGUCAGAAUCCCAGCAGAGCCACAGAAGUCUGCCAUGAGGGGGUCUGGGAUAAAUGCCAAGAAACACAGCUCUGCUGAUGGCUGGCUCACAGUGACCUGUGACUCAGCUGCAGCUGCCCAGUUUCUCCUAAGGGCAUGUGCAAGUCCCGGCAGCAGGAGGAAGGGGGUGCUGGGAAAGUGGGUUGGUUCCACAGGUCUCUGCAUAGAUCCUAAUCCCCUGGGUGACCUCUGAACUAGCAGAAAACUCAAAGCUACUUUAUUUAUUCCAUUUAUCUGCUUUGGGUUCCUGGUUGUCUUAUCAAAGAACGAUUGCUAAAGGCAACUUUGUUUUGUGGGGUCUUAGCCAAUGUAGCUAUACUUUGAAGGAGGAGGAAGAGGUGAAUAGAGGCCCAAAGCAAAGGAAGUUGAAGGGAACAUGCCAGUAAGUGAAAUGGUAGAAGCCUGGGGGCAGGGAAGGGUGGAAUCUAGUUGAUGGUGCAGUGUGGAUUGUAGAGGGUAGAAGACACUGGAAAGGAACUGGAGCAUGGAGGCUAGGGAGUGGGUGCUUCAGUCUGUGGCUGAUGCUAGCCAUGGAAGAUACCAAAGGGUGACUCACUUGCUCAGGGGCUCAGAUACUCAAGUGAGUUUUUUACUUCUAUUGCCACAGCUUUUCAGGAAACAGAAAUGUAUAGUCAUGUAUGGAGUGAACAUGGGGAACGUGUUUCAUUUAAAGACUAUUGAGUGGUAACCGCAAGCAGGAGGAGGGAUCAGCUUUAGAAAAGCAGAAGGCAUAGGGAUAGGAUGACAUUUCUGAAGUUCACGUUUAGCAUGUGCACACACACUCACAAACAUUUUCUCAAAGGGAGAUUGGAUCAUGCUCCCUGGGGUAUCAGAAUCCCUUGAGUCCUCAUAGGAAUGGCCAUUCUCAAGAACACUAAAUGAUCUUGCUGCCUUGGAGUAGCACAAACUAUUUCAGCUCCAGAUGUUAUUUAUCUCCCUAUAUCCUAUCAUCCCAGUCUUUUCCCUUCACAAACCAGUUACUAUCAUUAUGGUCCCAGAUUGUCUCAAGUCUCUUCAUCCACAGUAAACCACCCUGGGAGUUUAGGAAGUAAAGUUUGGCUUUAUUGUUUAGUGAGAACCUGCCUGUAUGCAAAGCUCUAGAACCCCAGGACCUUUGUAAAGAGGUACCAACCAAAACGACUUUCUCCUAGUAGGAGAGCAGCUUCAUUUUUAGCUAUUACUCUGGCCACAAAGACUAUGGAAGGUCCUUGCCCUGAGGACCCACUAAGCAGUGCAAAGAAUUACCUCCAUUGGAAGGGCUGGGAACAAACCAUGCAACCAUCCUAUCCAGAGAAGAGAUGGUGUAAUAUGUCUUAAUUGUCUUACCUAUUAUCUACAUGGCCCAAAGCAUGUUACCUAACCUUUGUGAACUCUUAAGGCAGACUAGGAAACCUCCCUAGAAAGCUUAAGGUAAUGACUAAGUGAAUUAACAUAAAUGAAGUGCCUUAUACCUGACUAACAGCAGAUUUUGAAGAGUGAUUAGUUUCCCUCCUCCCUAUAUUUUUGGACACAUGUGCUGAAAGACAGUGAAACCAAAGAAUCAGAUCCACAGAUGGAAGGGAUUUCAGAGAUUUGGAUCUCCUUAAGAAUAACCACAAUAAGUGAUUAUCCAGCCCCUGCUUAAACUCAUCUAAAGAAAACAAAAACAGAGAUUUCAUCUGCCAAAGAAGUUUGUAUAACUUAGGGAGAGUUCUGAUGACUCUAAUUUUCUAAAGAGCCUGUAUAGAGCCUGAAGAACUAGUUUUCUUAUGUCCCUCUGAUAAUUCAGUAAAUGCAUCAUCUGAUGAUAUAUUCACAUCAUGUUUGUUACAGUAGACAUGAGCUAUAGUUUAAGGAGAGGCAUUGGGCCAAGGAGUAUGAUGAGGCUCCAUUUCCCAGGUCUGAUUCAGUGUAAUAUUUGUCAUUUCCCUUUCUGGGUCAGUCUCCUCAUUUAUAAAAUGAAAGCUAGGUUAGAUUUAUUUCCUUUUUUCUUUUUUUGUGAAUAUGCCAGUUAGUAUGUUUCCCACAGACAAAUGGACAUUUUUAUAAACGCUCAGAAAAGAAACAUAAUGUUAAAGACAAAUUUCAGAUAUGCCUUGAAGAUAUCCAUUUAAGAUGAAUACUGGUGCUGGGGUAUGUGAUUGGCAUGUGCAAGGCCCUGGGUUCCACCCUCAAAACACACACACACACACACACAUACAUACACACGCACUCCAUUACCAUACUUCCCAAAUUCUCUGCACUCCUUUUUCUGCCCUUUACCAUUCUCCUUCAAAUUUUCCAACUAUGCAGGCACUGACCUAUUCUCUUCGACUUUGUUUUUUCUGAAGUUAAGGUCAAUGCCCUGGCAGAGGUGGCUGUUUUGAAUGAACCCAAGCUAUACUGCAGUGCCCAGGAAGAACUCUUCAAGAAGUUUACAUAUGCCUCUCCUAGUAUUCAAGAGUCAUCAUGUGAGAGGGACGAUCUUAAGAAGUUCAAGAACGAUACUAGAUAAAAUUACUUAGAAGUCUAAUCUGCUUUUUCUUGAUACCUAACCUUAAAGCCAAACAAACCAUGGGACAUUCGGGACUGCUCCUUUCCAGCAGGGCAAGUCAUUAACCAGCGUUAAGUUUCAAGAACCUCCGUUGAUUGAUUGCCUGGAGAAUUCGGCACGCCCUCCCAAUUCCCUUGGGCAUUUUCCAUCAGCGCUGGGUACUGGCAGGAGGCUCAGGUCUCCUCUUGCUAGUCCUCACUCAGGGUCUGCAGCUAUGACGGCUGAGGGGUCUGUCUCCUGCAGAGCGCCUUCUCUCGGCAGUCCCCAGGGGGAUCGUUCACAACCGCCUGAGGGCCAGUCGAUGGCCUCCCCAAAAGAAGGGUGGUGGCCCAUUGUCCAUAUGAGUGGAAACUGAACCACGUCUCCCCACGCCUACCUCUUGGGAGAACCGGCCAUCGGCAGAUAGCAGGUAGCCCAUUCAAACCACUCACCUCGUACUUCCGGGAAGAGGGGAAGAGGCGCAGCCCUGCGCCUGCGCACUCCGCAGCCACCGUCUCCCCCUGGGAGUGCGAGUCCCGCCCCCGCGGAGUCCGCCGCUUUCGGGCUCCGGCCCGCGCAGCCGCGGCCCGGGAGACCACCAGCGGCUGGUAGUUGCUGUCAGUCUGUCUCCUCUGAGUUUUUAGGGAGUUAGUCACAUAGUCAUUUUUUUGGUUCCUAGUGUAGUUAGGACCAAUCAACAGACUUAGCCUGCACUGUAAACCAUUCUUUAAGUACACUAAAAAAAUUUUUGAAAUAAAUAUAAUACAGGUGCGUGGUUUAAAAAAGAAAAUCAGAUCCGACCAAGUUUAUGAAGAACAACAAUUCCCUGGCCCUCCGUUCCCAACCUGCUUACUUCUUUCCUUCCUCGCAAUCACACUUGCUCAUGUUCCCAAAGUGUUUUGUCCAACUGUCUUCUCCAUUGAUUUUUUGUUUUGUUUGUUUUGCUGGUGUGAAACCCUGGGCCUCACACAAGCACAUAGGGCUCUAUUAGUUUUGAAUUGGAACCCAGCUGCUGUCAACAAAGUUCUAAGAUUAUAGUUUUUUAGCUAAAUUAUCUCUAACUUCCAUUAACUACAGGCUAAUGAGGUUCAGUAGGUGGGACAGGGAUACUGGCAUGUUGAGAAUGGUGUUAAGAACUGUCUACACAUCUGCAGGUUACUGCGGAGUCCUCUGUACCACUAGAACCCAGUUUCUGAGUCCCAGGUUACUGGAUCUGAGCCCACUCCAACUGACAUCUGCCUUCAGGACAGCCUGGCAAGUUCUACCUAUCUACUCUGGAUUUGACCUUUCCCUCUAUCCCUCUACCUCUUCUCCUGCAGAUAUCUUAGCCCUUGGAAUCUCCUGUGGAAAACAGGGUUUUCUAACCCCACCACCAGAACAAAGGACUGUGUACACUUUCACCACCACAGUCUUUCCCAAGGACAGCCUGGCCACGUGUGAAGAGAGCCAUUUCAUAGGCCUAAUGUUUUAACCAUCACACUUUGUGAAAUGUGUACCCUAAAGCUCUGAUAUUCAAAUAUAGGUUCUUAAGCUCCAGCCUAGGUCUGGACAGGGCCUGGGAAUCUUAAGCUCCUCAAGUGAUUCUGUCACAGAGGAUAGAGGACCACUCUUUGAGAAACACUGUCCUUAGGAAAUCAAUUUAAAACUGAUCUAUUUGUGUAAGAAGAUGUUCCCAUGAAACUACUUAAAAUAGGGGGGGAAAGUGAUAAGUACCCCAUGAUUGGGAAACAUUAAACAUUACACCUUUAUUUUUUUGUGUGUGCAGUAUUGAACCCAGGAUUGAACCCAGGGGCUCUCUGGGCUAAGUUACAUCCCUAGCCCUUUUAAUUUUUUGAGACAAGUUCUCUAUAAGUGGCCUGGCUGACCUCAAACUUGUAAUCGUCUUGCUUCCCAAGUAGUUGAGAUUACGUAUGUGAGAUAUCAUGUUCAACUAAAUAGAAUAAUUUAAUGAAAUUACAUUUUGCCUUGAAGUCUAAAAGAUUGUGGGACAAUAAACUGAGGCACAUACCUGAAUUGCCUUGAAAUUAUUUGGUGCGAUGCCAGAGUGCAAGUUAUUCUGAUAAUGAAUUUCUAGUUCUCACAUGGUGAAAAAAAAUCCUUUUUUAAAAAAAAAUUUUUAUUGUGGUGGUGGUUAUAAAGUUGUAUGUAUGUUUGAGCUUCUGAGGAGGCAGGAUUGAGACACUGAAAGGCUGAACCAACUCCGCGUGAGCAGAGUGGCAGAGGAUGUUUUUGAUAGCACCCCUAACCAGGAAACAGAUUCCUGUGGGCAAGCAGUGACUCACCCCCCAGUCUCAGUGAGUCAACAGUGUCCUAAGGGAGCCAGGGCUGGCAGCCUUCUGCUGCAAGGGAUGUAAGCAGGGCCUAGACUUAGUCCAGGAUAUCAGUGUGACAGAUCAGGGGUGACAGAACAGAUCCCAAGGAGUGGAAAGGGAGCUGAAUCCUUUGAAUGGGUCAGGUUAAAAAAAAAAAAAAACUACAGAAUAAAGCAAGUUAAAAAAGAGAGAAAGAGAGAGAGAACACAAGCCAGGGCAGUGGAGCAUGCCUAUAAUCCCAGCAGCUUGGAGGCUGAGGUAGGAGAAUCUCAAGUUCAAAGCCAGAGUCAGCAAUUUUUGGACGCCCUAAAGCAACUUAGCAAGACCCUGUCUCAAAAUAAAAAAUAAAUCAAAAGGAUUGGGAAUGUUGCUCAAUGGUUAAGCACCCCUGGGUUCAAUCCCCAGUACCCACUCCCCCUAUAAAAGAUAGAACACAAGAGAGCAUGUGCCAUUAUUAGUAAUUACAAGAGAAAAUUCAUUAGUAUCAGAAAUCAUUAGAUUCCAUGAUAGAUUAUGUGGAAGUUGGUAUAGUGGCACACACCUGUGAUCUCAGUGACUUGGGAGGCUGAAGCAGAAGGACCACAAGUUCAAAGAUAGCCUCAGCAAUUUAAGGAGGCCCUAAGCAACUUUGUGAGACCCUGUCUCUAAAUAAAAUAUUUUUAAAAGGGGUAAGAAUGUGGCUCAGUGGUUAAACAGCCCUGUGUUCAAUCCCCAGUAUCCCCGCCCCCCAAAAAAAAUUAAGGAAGGGGGCAGAAUUUUUCCAGAGUUCUUAUUCUGAAUAAGAAAAAGGGCAUUUGAAAAACAGCUGGGGUAGGGAUGGGAGACAGUGUUGGAGAUAGAUUUAAGUGGCAGAGGGCUUGCCAAUCAUGUACAAGGCCCUGGGUCCAAUCCCUGGCACCAAAAUUAAAAAGAAAAAUAGCCAGGCACGAUGGUGCAGAUUCAUGGUCCCAGCUACUGGAAGGACUGACACAGAAGGAUCACUUGAGCCCAGGAGUUUGAAACAAGCUCAGUCAAACCCUGUCCUUAAGUGUGUGUGUGUGUGUGUGUAAGUAUAUAUAAAAAAUAUAUAAAUAUAUAAUUUUUUCAGGUUUAUGUGGA